rnacentral:rRNA from 1 species
GAUGAACGCUGGCGGCGUGCCUAAUACAUGCAAGUCGAGCGAACAGACGAGGAGCUUGCUCCUCUGACGUUAGCGGCGGACGGGUGAGUAACACGUGGAUAACCUACCUAUAAGACUGGGAUAACUUCGGGAAACCGGAGCUAAUACCGGAUAAUAUAUUGAACCGCAUGGUUCAAUAGUGAAAGACGGUUUUGCUGUCACUUAUAGAUGGAUCCGCGCCGCAUUAGCUAGUUGGUAAGGUAACGGCUUCCAAGGCAACGAUGCGUAGCCGACCUGAGAGGGUGAUCGGCCACACUGGAACUGAGACACGGUCCAGACUCCUACGGGAGGCAGCAGUAGGGAAUCUUCCGCAAUGGGCGAAAGCCUGACGGAGCAACGCCGCGUGAGUGAUGAAGGUCUUCGGAUCGUAAAACUCCGUUAUUAGGGAAGAACAAAUGUGUAAGUAACUAUGCACGUCUUGACGGUACCUAAUCAGAAAGCCACGGCUAACUACGUG